UACAGAGGUCUCAAGCGUUGUUCGGAUUCAUUGGGCGUAAAGGGUGCGUAGGCGGCGCGGUAAGUCGGGUGUGAAAUCUCGGAGCUUAACUCCGAAACUGCAUUCGAUACUGCCGUGCUUGAGGACUGGAGAGGAGACUGGAAUUUACGGUGUAGCGGUGAAAUGCGUAGAUAUCUGGAGGAACACCGGUGGCGAAGGCGGCGUUCUGGACUGCAACUGACACUGAUGAACGAAAGCCAGGGGAGCAAACGGG
rnacentral:rRNA from 1 species